CCUGCAUUGUACACACUGUGUGUCUCGCUCUCUGCACACAGCGCGUACAAUGUGGAU
rnacentral:pre_miRNA from 1 species